GCAAAGUAGAAGACAGGAAAAAUAAAAAUCAAGUAGGAAGCAAAGAAAAGUAGAAGACAGAAAAAAAAUAAGAACCAAGAAGUAGGAAGAACAUAGAAGAAAACAAGAGGUAGGAAGCGGAAGAAAAGGUCCUAGAAGGCAAAAAAAAAUAGGACGCAGAAGAAAAAUGUUUUUAGAAGACAUUCCGGGCGGUUUGGGGAGAAGGUAGGCUCGAGGUAGACCGUGGCUAGCGAAGGUAGCAAGUUGGCGUGCUCCUGAGAGCAGGCGGACGGGCUGCGGAGACGGGGGCGAGCGCGGCGGGCGCCAUUUUGGAGGGAGCGUGCGCAGUAGGAGUCAGGGAGGCGGCGGCCGGAAGAGGGCGUGGCCGUAGGCCAGGACGACGCGGAAGAGAACCGGAAGCUAGAAGGGGAGGCCCAAGGACUGAGCUUGUGCAGACGCGGCGUGUCGGAGGAGUUAGGCCUUGAGCUUUAGGCGCUGACCCGAUGUGCGGAGAGGCCGGAGGAUUUGGAGCUAGGUGAAGACGCGUGGCCCCGAGGCGGGAGCGGUGCAGCGGGACCCGGCGGCGGUGCCCGGUGGCGUAGGAAGAGCAGCCGCGGAGCUAGGAAGACGGAGGAGGAGGAGCGCGUGCAGCCGCGGAGCGAGCGAGCGAGCUAGGCGAGGAGGCCAGGAAGGAGCCGCGGCGCUGCAGCCGGCGGGCGGCCUGGAGGCGGCGGCGCGUAGGUGGUAGCGGAGCCUAGACCGGCGGGCACAGGGACCAGCCAGGGAUCGAGCGGCCCGUGUCCGUAGCCGCAGUUCGGGAGCCUGCCUCUUCCACGUUUCCCAACGGUAACGGGGCGUGUGCCUUCGGUAAGGGGGUGUCUGGCGAGGGUCUAGGCCGGUUUCCGGGUGUCGUAGGGUUUCUCUCUUCCAGGCUGGUUGCUCACGCAUCUCACCUGGAGCUUUUGAGGGCAGACUGCCAAGGCCCGGAGGACUGGUAGCUGGCAAGUGGUCGUAAAAAAAAGAGGGAGACGCAUUAACACAGUAGAAGCAGCGCUUUUGUAAGCCGUUUCAUCCAGUUCGGGAUGCGUAGAGAAGCAUUUCCGUUCUGCGCCUAGACUCGUUUUGUUAUUUUCCCUCACCUUCACACAUAGGGCGCAUGUCGGUCGUUGGUUUUUUUUGCGGGGGGCUAAAGUUGGGGGGCAAAUUGUUUUCAGUUCUUUUCUCCCUAGGUCUGUCUAGUCUCAAAGGCAAAUGACUGGAGGUCACAGCAAAAAGAAAAUCCAGUAUCAGGAUAAUCAGCAUCAGAUUGGCAGUUCUAGAAAGUAGACUCACUUUGAGUUCUUGGGAGGAGCUGUCUGUCCAUUGGAGAAAUGGCUGGUAGUUAACAGGUUUUUACCCCUUUUAAUGAGACUUAAUUCUUAAAGUGCUUUUACUGGAAGUAUCUUGGGGGGAGGGGCGGGUGUCUUAACAGGGAAGAGAAGGGGGGGUGUUUUUUCCCCUAAGAUUUUCCACAGAUGCUAUAGUACUCUUGACAAAAUCUGGGUUAGAGAAGGAUUUACUGCUAUGCUGUUGGCACGGACAUCUCCAAGGAUUGGAACUGCCUUUUUCCUUGGAAGUCAAUUCCCAGCUGAAGCUGAAAAGUACAGCCCAGUGCAGCUGUUGGCUCCUAUUCAGUCACCUCGGGAGGCCUUCAGAAGAGCUUGGCUAGGCCAGAUGUUGAAGUUAAGUUUUCAAAUAACGACCUGAUUUUUAUUAAAAAAGGGAUUCAAUCCCUGUGACGGUUGGGGAUUAGGGAGGGAGGGGUUGGGUUUAGGUAAUUGUUUAGUUUAUGAUUUCAGAUAACUCAUAGCACCAGAACUUAAUUGAGAUGGAAAAACUCAAGUUGAAGAGUUGGCAAGUAACUACGAAUACUCUAGUUUUCCCACGAUUUUAUCGGGCAGCUCGUGAGCUUAUUAAAAUAAAGACCCGCCCCUCCACUGGUGGGACCAGUGCAUUAAUUGGGGUAGGGAAAGUAAACCAUACUUUUCAUUCCCCUCAACUUAAUAGGGGCUGGGCAAAAGCAAAAUGUUGGCUGAAACAAUCAGUAAAUUUUGGGGAGUUAAGAAAAUGAUAAAGUUUGUGUGAAUUGGUAGUGUUGUGGUUCUCUUUUUGGAAUUUUUUUCAGGUGACUUAAUAUAACUUAAUAACUACUGUAGGAACUUCAGAACAAAGGAAGUGGCUUAAUGAUCCUGAAGGGAUUUCUUCUGGUGAUAGAUAAUGUUAUCAAGUAAGAUUCUAUUUUAAGUUGUGUGCAAACAGUUGUUUAGUGUAGGAACCCUUUUUACCUUGACUGCAAAACAAGACGUGAAGGUAUGCCUCUAUACAUUGUUUUAUAAAUUGCAUCUUAACUAGUAAAUCAUAACUGACAAGGGAUUUUAAAUGUCUUUUAAAGGGUGGGCUUUUGUUCAUGAGGGUGGGGAAACCGUGUUUUUUUCUGUAGACCUUUUUCAGAUAACAUCUGAGUCAACCAGCCUGACAAUAUGAUGGCCUAGCUGCAGAAGGGAACAGCUCCUUGGUGAAUGAUAAGUAAAGGGAGAAAAGAUUGUAUUUCGUAACUCCAUUGGGGAAAAAUCAUAACCAGAUGAUUACUACUGAAGCACCCAGAGAAUAUUUGUCUGCAUAUGCCAAAAACUAAGCAAAUGAAAGCUCAACCAAUUUUAACGUUCUGGAAUCUGCCAAUUUAAAGUUAUAGCUUGACUCCUCAGGCUUUCUGUAUAUAUAUCCAUCACAAAAAGUAAAAGUGAAUUGAUGAGAAAUGCUUAAACCAAUGAAGACCAAAUAUCCAUCAAAAUAAUGCUUUUACAAAAGCAAAAUGAAAAUAUUGCCACGUUAAACCUGGAAUUAAAGAAGCUGACCUAAUUGAGAUGAGUAAAUUUGAGAGGAAGGAAGAGGCCGUGCUGUGUGCCAAUCUCUCGUUUGCCUCAGACAGGUUUUCUCUACAUAAAUUAACGGAAGAGUUGCUUCAAUUCACCUGGGAGCAGUAAACAGCAAGGCAGCUGUUGACAGAUAAGUUUAAUGUGCAUCUGCAAAAUUGCAUGUUGAGGGCUAAGUGCCUGUUCCUAAGCUGUGGAGGCGCCUUAAGUACCCCUGACCCCCUUCCCAGGGGAGCCCAGGAUUUCGGACUUGACCCAUCUAGCCCUCUAAUUCGGUCUUAGAACCUUUGGGUUUCCAUGAUGGGCCCCUACAUCUCCAUCAGAGGCAAGUAAUUUCUGAAGAGCCUGCACGAGGUUAGUGCCCUUAAUAAUAUGGUAGUACUUAAACAGAACUAAGGAAACUUGUUUUAACACGAAAUUGGAAGACCCUGCAAAAUAGUUUAAUAUGGUAACGUAAAUCAGCUGUGUUAAUCUCGAUAGUCUAAAUGUUGCAAUGUAUAGCGUUUGCAGAAAAAAAUUAAUUAUUCCUAAUAAAAAUAUUUUACUAGAGAAUGUAUGUUUGUUAGAAACAUUGUCUCCUUAUUUACAUAAAGUGCUGUUUUGUGUGUAGUUAGUGUUGGGGCAAUCUUGGGGGGAUUCUUCUCUAAUCUUUCAGAAACUUGUCUUCGAGCCCUCUUAUGGACAAGAUCAGGAAUUGAGCAGAAGAACGAAUUUUAACUUGGUUAAGGCAGGAAAGACAAAACUUACUUCCUCCGUAAAGUGAUGAGACCUUAAUAAACUCCAGGCACAUGGCACUUAGAGGUUCUCUAAAUACAGGAAAUAAGUAACCUCUUAGACAGGUGGGAGAUUAUGAUCAGAGAUAACAGGUAACUUAAACAUUCUAUUUCUAGAAAGUUAGGGCUUUAAGUUGAUAGGGGAGAUGCCAAGUCCCCAAGUUGCAUGUAAAUAAAUGUUCAAUGCUUAAUCAUUCCGUCUAGUGCUAGCCAGUGUUUAGACUGACUGUAGUGUCUGUGGGGCAUCUGUGGGUUUUUCCUUUCAAGCUUCCUUUGCAGAGGCCUCAUUUCAUCCUUCACGAAGCUGUUCAGAACUUGGCUUGCAUAUAAGCACUUGCCGCCUCUGCCUGCUAGUGAGUGUGAGACCUUGCAGUGAGUUUAUCAGCACAUACUGUACUCGGUUAAAGUUUUUCCUUGGAUUUGGAGGGGAGGGGCGGGGCUUACUUGUUCUAGCUUUUUUUUUACAGACUACAGAGAACGCAGUUGUCUUGACUUGAGGUCUGUUCUGUUGGCCAGUGAUUACACAGUACUGUGCUCACCCGCUGCUAUUAAGAUGCAUUGUAAGGCGACUGGAAUGAGUAAACGCUGUGGUUCCCCCCAGUGCUUGGAGUAGUGAGUGAGGAGAUCAGCUGAGUGAGGCUUGAGUGGUGACCUUUUCUGCAGCUUUAAAGCAGUGCUUGUGAUUGGAACAUAAGUCCAUUUGGCUGUGCUGCCUCAUCGGUAAACUUGCUUUUUGUUCCUUUUGAUAGGGAGGGGGGGUGGGGAGGGCACUGAAGCCUUUAGUCUUUUUCCAGAUGCAACUUUCAUAUCGGUGACAAGAAAUAAAUUCCAAACCAGCAAGUCUUGAAGAGAUUUAACUGGCAAGUGAAAACAACCAACUUUUAAGUCAGUGGUCUUAGUGCAUUUUGUCUUUUGUGCCGGUUUCUCUCUCCCCUCCCUUGGUCUUAAUUCUUACACGCAGGAACAGUCAAACAGGAUGCUUUGCGAAGGGCCAGAGAAGCCAGACCCAGUAAGGAAUAAAAAUAGCUAAUUUCCUUAAAAUUACUUACGCAAUCAAACAUUGCCCUGGUAACUGUGGGGAUUGGGAACCACUAGUUCUUUCAGAUGGUUAUUCUUCAGAAUUUACUAGGAGUUUCCAGUUUGAAUCCACCAGUGGACAAAAUGAGGAUAACAGGUGAACAAUCCUUUUUCUCUUUUCCUGUCAAUCCACUUCUGGGUGAAUUUUGCACAAGGUUAAUUAACCUGACUGUUGAGCUUUAUGCUUGAGAGCAUGUGAUGAGCAAGUUGUGUGUUGGCAAUGGGGGAGGAGGGGUGAGGUGGGCGCUAAGCCUUUCUCUAAGAUUUUCCAGGUACUUCUCACUAAAGGCACCGAAGGCUUAACGUAGGACAUCUGUGGCGCCUGCCUUCCUUCCUGUGGCAAGAGACUACCGAGCACUGUUGUACUAAGGUCAACAAAACUCAAGUGGCAGCCUCACAAAUGAACCCAGAUCGUCUUUAGAGACGGAGGCUAUGCCUCAGUGGAGCCUCUGCAGCCUUGCCUGCAUCGAGGCGAUUCGGGAGAAGUGCUCCUUUGAAUGCCACCUCUACGGCACCUUGAGUGUCAUGGGCUGAGGUCAGUAAUGGAGAAAGGAACUGUUUUCAUAGCAGCUCUUUCUAAGUGAGCCCAGCCUUCAACUUGAAGGGGAGGGAACAGGGGGAAAGCGGGCAACCAGUUUCCCCUAGUUUUUCCAGAAGCCUGUAAACAAGGUCUCCCCUCAAGUGACUUCUCUGCCACACCACACCGCCCCCUGCCUUUGGCCUAGCGCAGACCCUUCACCCCUCACCUCGCUGCAGCUGGUAGCUUGGAUCCUUGGUGGGCAAUGGCCCUUAAGCAGUUUCAAGGAAUUCCACAUGCAGCUAAUGUCUACAGAAGCCUGCCUCUCAAGCCUGUAAAAACUCCUGAUACUUGAUUACAAUAAAUUGAAAACCUCUUUA